rnacentral:lncRNA from 1 species
CAUGGGAAACCCACAUGGCCUCCCCAUUGUGGCGGGCCCUGACAGUCCCAGACUAGACAGGGGAGAGCGAGAGGAGCUGAGAGGAUAUGUGGACAUACUGUGUGCAGCUACUGACGGGUCCGGCACAAUGAAUGGUGAGGAUUGCUGCGCUUUAUCCCGGAUAGCUGAUUGCUGUGAUGUGGGCCAGUUGCUGGAAAGUCUCAGUGGACUCAAAUUCAGGAGUGGCUUUAUUUUUCCUGGACAUCGAUAUCGAGUGACAUCUCUGAAAAUAAAAUGCAAAGCAAUGUGACAGGGACACAAACUGCAGAAAAGUAGGAAAGUUCAGCGCCUCAGAGCAGCAAGACAAGGAGGAAACCUGAGAGGAGGCGAGCCGACCAAACGCACAAACCUGACGCUGCAGAGAGGAGACCUGCCACGCUCCGGUGACAACCAGGAAGUAAUGUGACAGCGUUCGUUGAUCGAGGCAUGACGGUGUAACAUAAUAAUAAUAAUAGUAAUAAUGAUCAUUCUUUUUCUUUCUCAAAUUUAAAUUCUCAGUAAAUAUAAAAAAUUAAAACAACAAAAACUUUCUAAUUAAUAAAUACGUAUCAAAAAGUAAACUGAAACUGGUU